rnacentral:lncRNA from 1 species
GUCUUGUGUACUGUUAUCUGUCUGUUUUUCUUUUUUGGCCAUGGCGUUGUCAGUUUAUUUUCGAUCUAUGAGUUUGAAUGUCUCUUUGGUAUCGUUCUCUUUUAUGUAAGUAAAGAUAUCGGGCAAACUGGGCUGUAUCUGUUGUAUCCUUUAUCUCAAGGUCGAUGGGAAAGAUACAUUCAACAUAGUCAUUAAAUUCAGUGAACGAAUUUCAUCUAUGUAGCAUGAUUUUUAAGGAUAAUGCUUACUUCUUC